rnacentral:rRNA from 1 species
UACGUAGGAUCCGAGCGUUGUCCGGAUUUACUGGGUGUAAAGGGUGCGCAGGCGGACUUAUAAGUCAGGGGUGAAAUCUCACAGCUUAACUGUGAAACUGCCUUUGAUACUGUAAGUCUUGGAUCCGGGAGAGAAUUGUGGAAUUCCGAGUGUAGCAGUGAAAUGUGUAGAUAUUAGGAGGAACACCGGUGGCGAAGGCGGCUACCUGGACCGAUAUUGACGCUGAGACGCGAAAGCGUGGGGAGCAAACAGG